GAGAGAUAAGAGAUAGCCAAGGACUUUAUGUCCAGACAAACUGUUUUCAAAGUAUCAGAGCUAUAGAAAAUAAUUUUAAAUAUUCAGAAACUCAGGGAAUACUGUAUUCAGAGCCCUUCCUGAAGAAUCUAUUAGAGAUGAACUUCACCUCUACCAGGAGCAUCUGGGGGGCUUUGGCAAAAGGCUAGUGUUGGCUGAGACACUGGAACUGCUUCCACUCCUCCCCUGCCCUGAGGAAGGAAGGAGUUCGGGCCCCCACCUGCCCUCCAUACUAGCUUGACUUUCAGAAAUGCAGCCCAGAAGGACAGACCUGAGAUCAACCGGGUAGAGCUGUUUUCUAUGUAACUACUGCCUGGAUGUCAGUGGCUAAAUCCUAAAAAACAAACUGAGAUUAUGUUGCUCAUUUAAAUAGGAAAAUGUGGUCUCCAUGGAUUUCUUCCACAGUUGUGGUUCCUUGAGAAAAUAGACAACAGAAUGACAGAAAUGAAAGGCAGGAAAGGGCAGGAGGCUGCAGUGUGUCCAUGAGAAUUUGAAGAGGAGAAUUAAUGAACUUGAGUCGUACAGAUGAGAGCAGCCUGUCAUGCAUAGAGGGAGCAAGAAAGAAGGUACAAGACAACCUGGCAGUUGGUGCUAAUGGAGUGCCUUACUUCCCCUCCACAUGGUUUUCCAUCCCCCUAAAGGCUUCCUUACAAGGUAGGUUCAAGGCAAUUUUUCAACAGAACAAACAACAGAAACUACAAGGGUUCUAA
rnacentral:lncRNA from 12 species